rnacentral:rRNA from 1 species
CCUACGGGAGGCAGCAGUGGGGAAUAUUGCACAAUGGGGGUAACCCUGAUGCAGCGACGCCGCGUGAGUGAAGAAGUAUUUCGGUAUGUAAAGCUCUAUCAGCAGGAACGAGACAAGACGGUACCUGACUAAUAAGCCCCGGCAAACUACGAGCCAGCAGCCGCGGUAAUACGCAGGGGGCAAGCGUUAUCCGGAAUCACUGGGUGUAAAGGGAGCGUAGACGGCUGAGCAAGCCUGAAGUGAAAGGCGGGGGCCCAACCCCGGACUGCUUUGGGAACUGUCCGGCUGGAGUGCAGGAGAGGUAAGUGGAAUGCGUAGUGUAGCGGUGAAAUGCGUAGAUAUUAGGAAGAACACCAGUGGCGAAGGCAGCUUACUGGACUGUAACUGACGUUGAGGCUCGAAAGCGUGGGGAGCGAACAGGAUUAGAUACCCUAGUAGUC